UCCUCUCCCUCUCCCUUUCCCUCGUCUGCCGCCGCCAGCCCCACCGCCGCCCUCCCCGCAGCCGCCGCCACCACCGGCGCCCAGGUGUGGCGCUGCUCUUCCCCAAGGUCCUGACGGCAAGGCGGUGACAAGAGUUAGAAGGCGGACGCGGACAGCCCCGUCAGAUCUCGUCCCAAUGAAGUCAAGGACGAGCUCCACCCGGACGAUGUCGAUCCGCCCCCCUGCCACACUUCUCCAUCGCGUCACCAUAUUCGGAGGAGCCGCGACUUCUGCUCGCGCAUCUGCUCCUCCCGAAGUUGUCGCCAUCGGCAGGAGGAGUGCCGGACCGCGCGCCAACUCGAGGACCGCCGCUCCGGCGGACCGUUGUUUCUGGCCGCCGUCCGCCUCUGGUGCCCGGCACAGGAGCUUCCCGGCGCAGGCUUUGCACUACAGAGCAGUUGGUGGUAGGAAGGACAGAGGACGCGAAGAACUCAUGAUUAGGUGUACGGCGAGGGGAGGAGGAAGCACUUCUCUGACAAGAUCCAUAGCCACCACUUCAUCAUCGGCGGCAACCCUCUGUAUUUCCAAUGGUAAGGAUACUGGACAGUGCCAAUUUUAGGUGUGGUAUACUCAAAAUUUUGCUGUAUCUUUUUUCACAAGUAUUUGCAACGGUAAGGAUAGUGGAUAGUGCCAAUUUUAGGUUGUGGUAUACUCAAGAUGAAUUGGUUCUCUUAGGAGAAAAAUAAGGAAGUCAGAGUUUUUGUGUUCUCAUUUAUAAGCUUGAUUUUUUUCCUAACUCAUGAUGCAGUGUAGUAAUGUUAUUCCGGACGCAUGCGAUUUACAAAAUAAAAGGAGUAGCAAAUAUCAUAUACCUGGUUAAGGGACUGGCUGGUUUCUGAUCCACUGCAAAUUGAGCAUUCUUUUGUGAAGGAAUAUUACACUAAAAAAGUUGUCAUCAGUAUAUAUCUCAAGAUGAAUUGUGUCACGGGAGCCGAUACGGCGGCAGACACAAGCAGAGCAAAGCGAAGCCGGCGCGACGGCCGGGCCCUCCAAGCACACAACCACUGCCUCCUCGCCAAAAUACGCUAGCCUGCAUCUACAAAAUUUUCAUGCUAUGGUGUUAUUGCAAUCCAGGAAGAAAAGGAACUUGCCCGUAUGGUGUUCACUAAAAAGAAGAAUCUGCUAAAAGGUUGGAUGUGGGCUGUACGUGGACAUGAACUUGUUCCUGGGAUUCAGAAGGGAGCACGUGCCAUGGAACUUCAAGAAGACGGAGAACCAUGUGUACCUCCAUGUCGUGCUUUGGCAGAAGCUGGAUGCCGACGAGUCAGAACCUGCUGAAGAAGCCACUCUGCUCACCAUUGGUAUGACAGAAUUGUCGCUCCUUAUAUCAUGUAUGUAUCAUCUGCAUCUAUGGAGAUCCUAUGGCCUAUGUGAAUAAAUGCUUUGAUUGGCAUUGUAAUAUCUUCUGUUUGGCUCUAUUUGUUAAUAAUGAUGGCAAGCAAAAAAAGACAUUUUAAUGGAUUCACAUGGGUGUGUUAUUCUGGAGCAGGUUGAUCACGCUUCCCUGUUUGAACUGAUAUUAUUCAGUCUCAUCAACUAUGAAUAUGGUGUAUGGUGUACUCACAUCCAUGCCAUCUAUUGCCACAUUUGCAGACUUUGACAGUUUUGGUGUUGCACCUAUAUGUAACCCUGAAAAAAUAUUCCAAGAAUCUUCUUUGAUAUUAUUUAUGAUAUUUUCAUAAUACAUAUGUUCUCAGGCGCUUUCCGUGGGAAGUGAUAGCAAUGGAAGCGGAGUUGUAGCUCUUCUGAAAAUUGCUAGGAUCUUUUCACACAUCUAUACAAGCCCUAAGACCAGAAGCAAGUUUAAUCUUCUCUUUGGAUUAACAUCUGGCGGACCCUACAAUUAAAAUGGAACUAGCAAGGUUAUCAAUUUUUGUUACAGUGGCUUGAAAUUUUGACCAACAUGUGUGUGAUAUUAUUGACUAUGCAAUUUACUUGAAUAUCAUUGGUUCCUGGAGCAAUGAUCUCUGGAUGCAUGUAUCAAAGCCUCCAGAGAAGCCUUACAUCAAGCAAAUCUUUGAGACUACAUGCUGAACAAGUUUCAGAUUGAGGAGAGCCUGGUCCCGAGAUGUGCCUAAAUUUGUACAGGGAAUAAGGAACUACAAUGGCCGGUCUGAAGCUUAUGGGCUACGAUUUCGACUACGAGGAUUCCACGCCAGCGUGCACAGUAAAUUGCCAUAUGAGAAAUUGAAGCCGGACCAUGUCCUGAGGAACCUACUGCUUUUGAUGCCUCAAAAUCCCUCUGAUGUUUUUUGCUAAUCGCAUCUGCAAGGGGUCUGUGACAGUUAAAUGCUUCAGCAGUUACAGUUUGUUGUUGCACUGUAGAUAUUCACCAACUCUGACGAGGCUCACGCGGCCGCCCUCCUCUUGGUUAACUCUGACAUUCAUUGUGCCAUUUAUAUCAAAAUAUUGCAUGAGUUUUUGUUGGUUGUUCAGGACUAAGCUUAUCUUGGUUAAUGUCAAUUUUAAUUGUACUCUGACUCAAGUGAUUUUUUGAUAUGGUAACUAAUUUCUGGUUCUUUUUGCUAAAUUCUAAUUUAAAAACAAAGCAGUAAGAAAUCAUGCAUGAUGUUUCAAGUAAAAAAAUAAAUAAAUGCAGCCUCGAGUGCUGAUCUAUGAAAUAGAUACCAUCAGGAAGGUCGUGCCUUCAAUUCAUCAUGUUCUUUGCAUGCCUAAUUUUCCUCUCAUCCUCUUUUGUUGUAUUCACAGUGUUUUUUUUUCUGGACAAUGGUUCUGCAUCUUUGCAGGAGGAUUAUCAGGCCUGAGUGACAUUUGUGGGAAAAAAAUCGUUCAAAGCUUGGUGUUCAUUGCUGUUAUUGUUCCUAAUUUGAAGGGGACUGAGAUUUCUACCUAGGAAAUUCAAGUUGUGUUACCUUCAAAUGAUCGGACAUCUGAAAUAAAUUAUAUGUUAGUAAGUCUAUUACUAAGACAAAGACAUUGUGUUCUUUUUCAUAAUUUUUCUGAAUUGUCUAGGAGAAGCAGGUAGGCAAUACUGAUGAAGCCCGGUCGUAUGAGCUGAGGGCUCAGACCGUCUCGCCGCGUUGGAUCUGAUCUUACAUGCAAAGCUGUUGAGCAGAUGCUGAUCAUUUAGUGUUGUGACAGUAAUAAGAGUUGUCCGUAUUUCUUCUUUCAUGUACUAUAAAUACAAGAGACAUAUGUGCUACACUACUUUUGGACAAACUGUAAUGGGUUGUCCUCGUUACAUGUACAACCAGUGUAAUGGAUCUGAGCUCAUAUUUUCUC